AGUGAAAAAUUGUCCCUAGUACUUGCACAUAAUUUCAUGGAUGUUUUAUAAAAAUAUGUCACAAAAGACAAUAUUUCAUAGUGUAGCUAUUUUUUUCUGUCCCUAAAGAAGGGAAAUAAUUUAGCAAUCAUUGAAAUGUUUUAAUCAAUUAGUUAAAUCAUAAUUGAAAUUUAAAUAAAGACAACACAGAUGUAAACAAAAAUGGAAAGUGGUGAAUAUAAACAGCUAUAUGACUUU
rnacentral:lncRNA from 1 species